rnacentral:tRNA from 1 species
GGAGAGAUGGCUGAGUGGUUGAUAGUUCCGGUCUUGAAAACUGGUAUAGUUUGAACAAAAAAACUAUUGGGGGUUCGAAUCCCUCUCUCUCCU